GAGCUCUGAUCCUAAGCCCACAAGGGUUUGCUAGGGUUCCUGCAGUACCUGCUCAUGAGUCACCAAAUGACACACCAUCACCUAUUUUUAAAUCUCCAAACAACUCCCCAUCACCUGUUUUUGAAUCACCAAACAAGACACCAUCACCUGUUUUCAAGUCUCCAAGUAACUCACCAUUGAACAAGGCACCUAUUUUUGAGUCGCCAAACAAUUCUCCAUCACCUGUUUUUGAGUCUCCAAACAAGACACCAUCACCUGUUUUUGAGUCACCAAACAAGACACCAUCACCUGUUUUCAAGUCACCAAACAAGACACCAUCACCUGUUUUUGAGUCUCCAAACAAGACACCAUCACCUGUUUAUGAAUCACCAAACAAUUCACCAUCACCUGUUUUUGAAUCACCAAACAAGACACCAUCACCUGUUUUCAAGUCUCCAAGUAACUCACCAUCACCUACUUUCAAGUCUCCAAACAACUCUCCAUUGAACAAGGCACCUAUUUUUGAGUCGCCAAACAAGACACCAUCACCUGUUUUUGAGUCUCCAAACAAGACACCAUCACCUGUUUUUGAAUCACCAAACAAUUCACCAUCACCUGUUUUUGAGUCACCAAACAAGACACCAUCACCUGUUUUCAAAUCUCCAAGCAACUCACCAUCACCUACUUUUAAGUCUCCAAACAACUCACCAUUGAAAAAGGCACCUGUUUUUGAGUCGCCAGACAAAACACCAUCACCUGUUUUCAAAUCUCCAAGCAACUCACCAUCACCUACUUUCAAGUCUCCAAACAACUCACCAUUGAAUAAGGCACCUAUUUUUGAGUCGCCAAACAACACACCGUCACCUGUUUUUGAGUCACCAAACAAAACACCAUCACCUGUUUUCAAAUCUCCAAGCAACUCGCCCUCACCUGCUUUCAAGUCUCCAAACAACUCACCAUUGAAUAAGGCACCUGUUUUUGAGUCGCCAAACAAGACACCAUCACCUGUUUUUGAGUCACCAAACAACUCACCAUUUAAGGCUCCUUAUGGCACUCCGAAUUAAAGCGAAUUGAAUGAACCAAGAAGAUAAUAAUAUGCAUGCAACAAGCUAGGCAUAAUAAUAUGUACA
rnacentral:lncRNA from 1 species